AAAUAGGGGGUUGCGACUGUUUAAUAAAAACUUAGGACUCUGCUAAAUGGUAACAUGAUGUAUAGGGUCUGACACCUGCCCGGUGCUGGAAGAUUAAUAGGAGAUGUUUGCGCAUUGAAUGGAAGUCCCAGUAAACGGCGGCCGUAACUCUGACGGUCCUAAGGUAGCGAAAUUCCUUGUCGGGUAAGUUCCGACCUGCAUGAAUGGUGUAACGACAUCCCCGCUGUCUCCAAUAUAAACUCAGUGAAUUUGAAUUAUCCGUGAAGAUGCGGAUUCUCUAUAGUUAGACGGAAAGACCCCGUGAACCUUUACUACAUCUUUAUAUUGUUAUUUUAUCUAAUAUGUGUAGCAUAAGUGGGAAUCAAUAAGACCUUCACGCUAGUGAAUUGUUUAGAUAACAUUGAAAUACCACUCUUAUUAAAAUAAAUAACUAAUAUUUUUAUAAAUAGACAGUGUAUGGUUGGUAGUUUGACUGGGGCGGUCACCUCCUAAAGAGUAACGGAGGUGUACAAAGGUAAGCUCAAAUUGGAUUAUAUUAUCAAUUGUAGAGCGCAAUGGUAUAAGCUUGCUUGACUGUAAGAUAGACAUAUCAAACAGGGACGAAAGUCGGUCAUAGUGAUCCGAUAAUUCUUUGUGGAAAGAUUAUCGCUCAACGGAUAAAAGGUACUCCGGGGAUAACAGGCUGAUGACUCCUAAGAGCUCCUAUCGACGGAGUCGUUUGGCACCUCGAUGUCGACUCAUCACAUCCUGGAGCUGAAGAAUGUUCCAAGGGUUCGGCUGUUCGCCGAUUAAAGUGGUACGUGAGUUGGGUUUAGAACGUCGUGAGACAGUUUGGUUCCUAUCUUCUAUAGAUAUUUUGAAAAAUGAAAGAAUCUAACUCUAGUACGAGAGGACCGAGAAGGGUAAAUCACUGGUGUAUCGGUUGUUUAAUAGGCAUCGCCGAGUAGCUAAAUUUAUUUUGGAUAAUUACUGAAAGCAUCUAAGUAAGAAACCAUUCUUAAAAAUUUUUCAUAUGAAAACUGUAAAAGACUAUUACAUUGAUAGGUUUUAAGUGUAAGUAUCGUAAGGUAUUCAGCUUAAAAAUACUAAAAGUUUCAAAAUUUUAAAUAU
rnacentral:ncRNA from 1 species